UACGUAGGGUGCAAGCGUUGUCCGGAAUUAUUGGGCGUAAAGAGCUCGUAGGCGGCUCGGUAAGUCGGAUGUGAAACCUCCAGGCUCAACCUGGAGUCGCCAUCCGAUACUGCUGUGGCUUGAGUCCGGUAGGGGAGCAUGGAAUUCCUGGUGUAGCGGUGAAAUGCGCAGAUAUCAGGAGGAACACCAGUGGCGAAGGCGGUGCUCUGGGCCGGAACUGACGCUGAGGCGCGAAAGCGUGGGGAGCAAACAGG
rnacentral:rRNA from 1 species